UACGUAGGUGUCAAGCGUUGUCCGGAAUUAUUGGGCGUAAAGCGCGCGCAUGCGGUCCUUUAAGUCUGAUGUGAAAGCCCACGGCUCAACCGUGGAGGGUCAUUGGAAACUGGGGGACUUGAGUGCAGGAGAGAAGAGUGGAAUUCCACGUGUAGCGGUGAAAUGCGUAGAGAUCAGGCAGAACACCUGGGGCGAAGGCGGCCAGCUGGGCCGUCCCUGACGCUGAGGCGCGAAGGCGUGGGGAGCGAACGGG
rnacentral:rRNA from 1 species